GCCGGGCGCGGUGGCGCACGCCUGUAAUCCUAGCUACUUGGGAGGCUGAGGCUGGCGGAUCGCUUGAGCUCAGGAGUUCUGGGCUGCAGUGGGCUAUGCCGAUCGGGUGUCCGCACUAAGUUCGGCAUCAAUAUGGUGAUCCCUGGGAAGCUUCGGGUCACCAGGUUGCCUAAGGAGGGGUGAACCGGCCCAGGUCGGAAACGGAGCAGGUCAAAACUCCCGUGCCGAUCAGUAGUGGGAUCGCGCCUGUGAAUAGCCACUGCAGCGUAGCCUGGGCAAGACAGUGAGACACGGUCUCUU
ensembl:misc_RNA Metazoa_SRP Metazoan signal recognition particle RNA